rnacentral:rRNA from 1 species
UACGUAGGGGGCAAGCGUUGUCCGGAAUCAUUGGGCGUAAAGAGCGUGUAGGCGGCCCGAUAAGUCCGCUGUGAAAGUCCAAGGGCUCAACCCUGGAAUGCCAGUGGAAACUGUCGGGCUAGAGUCCGGAAGAGGCGAGUGGAAUUCCUGGUGUAGCGGUGAAAUGACGCAGAUAUCAGGAGGAACACCGAGUGGCGAAGGCAGCUCCGCUGGGACGGUACUGACGCUGGAGACGCGAAAGCGUGGGGAGCAAACAGG